GAGAGGCUUCGGCCUCAAUUGAGUGGCAAACGGGUGAGUAACACGUGGGUGACCUACCUUCGAGUGGGGGAUAACGUCCCGAAAGGGACGCUAAUACCGCAUAACAUCCUGCCUUUGAAGAGGUGGAGAUCAAAGCUGGGGAUCGCAAGACCCGGCACUUGAAGAGGGGCCCGCGUCUGAUUAGCUAGUUGGUGGGGUAAUGGCCUACCAAGGCAACGAUCAGUAUCCGGCCUGAGAGGGCGGACGGACACACUGGGACUGAGACACGGCCCAGACUCCUACGGGAGGCAGCAGUGGGGAAUUGUUCGCAAUGGGCGCAAGCCUGACGACGCAACGCCGCGUGGAGGAUGAAGAUUUUCGGA
rnacentral:rRNA from 1 species